CAGUGGUGGUCCGAAAUAACUCCCACAGAGGAUCCAGCUGUGUGAAUCCACACACAGUAUUAAAGAGCGACAUACCUGUAAAGCUUGAGUGUCAAGUUGUAGAAAUGGACGUAAGGAGAGAAGAUGAGGAUUAAAACUGAGGCAGCCCUACCUUUGGGAGUCUAAAUGGGGUCUCUGCAUGGCUGAUUUAAGGACAAGAGCAUCAGGACGAAUGGCUGCCUGUGG